AUUUAAAUAGUUUAAUAAAAAUUUUGAUUUGUGGUGUCAAAGAUAUGAAUUUAAUCAUUUUAAAUC
rnacentral:tRNA from 1 species